rnacentral:snRNA from 1 species
AUGUUGGCUUCUGUAGCACAUAUACUAAAAUCGGAAAGAUACAGAGAAGAUCAGCAUGGCCCCUGUGCAAGGGUGAAAUACAAAUUUUUGAGGUGUUCCCUAUUUUU